AAAGUAUGGCGGAAGUAGAGUAAUUUUAUGCACAAAGUUAAGAAAAACAACAUGCUGCAAGAUGACGAGCCCUUUAAUAACUUUUCUUUUCCGCAUACCAUGACUUCGUAUGUACUGCAACAAGAAAAAUGUCGUCCAAAGGACGGAAUCUGGCCAAAACUAUUGGAAAAUCAAUUAGGAAAAAGUUCACAGAUUUAGAAGGUCGACCUGACCAGCAACAGGAAUCGUUUUCUCUUGGUGAUACUGAUAUGAAUGCUGCAAUGGAUUUGAGAAAUGAUCGAGGAAUGUUAACAGCAUCCAGUCGUGCCCCAAAAGUUGUGAAAAGUGUGUCACUUGGAAGUAUUAACAAUGAAGAACCCGUUAUUGUGGACCAAGAAGACAUCAUAGCAUUAACACAGGAUGUCAAGAGUUUCUCUGAUGCCCUUGCAAGUCUCAAGACUGUCUUCACUGCAAAUUUGGAAGUUGGUGAUGACACAAGAGUGAUUGCUCAUCAAAGACUGGGUGAGGUUUUAUGUAUUUUGAAGAAUGUAUUACAGUGCUACCCAGCACUCCACUCCACGGAUCUGUUUUCAGCUGCAGGGGCUCUCAUUGGAAAAAUCAAGAAUCACAAUUAUGAAGAAGCAGCUGAUGACAAUUUGCUGCAGUCUUUCUGUGAUGCCAUUGACCAGCUGGCUUUAUCCUUCAGCAGCAGUGUGUCUGAGUACUUAAUGGGUGGUAUGGAACCAGAGAUGUCUGGAAACAACAAAACAAAGUCUUAUGACAACUUGGCAGCACUUGAUACAGAUGGAUCUGAAACUUCUAGCAUUGAUGGAAAAUGUGCUCAAAUCUGUGGCAGUGAUAUUGAUGUGGCACUGGUACGUCUAGAAGCCGGACUGGACUUAGCAUUGCAGAGAGCUAAGGCUUGGUCGAAGUAUGCAAGGGAUAUUAUGACCUACAUUGAGAAGAAAACGCAACUAGAGUUGGAAUACUCCAAAAACUUGAGUCGGUUAGCACAGUCUACAAGACCUGUUUUAACAGAAGAGGGAUUUUUGCCAUUACAGUCUGUGUAUUGUACUCUGUUAGCUCAGGAUACUGAGUUUUCCAACAACUGUCAGGCCACACAUGUGCUGUUGCAGACAUCAAAAUUUAUUGAGCCUUUGUCGACAAGGCGUGCUGAACACGACAAAGUGAGAAAGUCUGUGAAGGAAGUAUGGGUUAGAGAAAUCAAGAAAAUGCAUGACACUGUAACGAACCUACGCAAAGCUCAAAACAUGUACGUGUCCCGACAGUUAGAGUUUGAUAAAGCCCGAGAGCUGACACAGAAGGCUGAUGCAGAUAAACAUGACAAACGUAAGAAGCUGGAAGAAGAAGCCAUGCAUAAAGCUGCAGAAGCCGAGACCACCUACAAGGCCUGUGUAGCUGAGGCUAAUCAUCGACAACAGGAACUUGAGAAGGUUAAGUUUGACUUGCUUGGCAAAAUCCGGGAACAGAUUGAAAUGUGUGAUCAGACUAUGAAGCAGUUGACGGUAGAUUAUUUUCAGCUACUACAUACAGUGUCUGCACCACUUCCUGUUCAGUUUCACACCCUGUGUGAAAGCAGUAAAACAUAUGAACCUGGAAGCCAGUAUGCUGAGUUUGUACGAAGACUGCCUAUCCCAGCAGCCAGCACAACCAGACAAGAGGCUUUCUCAUUUGAAGCUUAUGUACCCGGUGUUAAAUAUGGUGAGAGUCGGAAACCCAGCACUCACUCUAAUGGCUUAGUAUCCUCCGACUUGCUUCCUUCCAACGAAGGCUCUCCGACAUCCUCACCCAGAAAAGCAGACAAAAAUCGUGCUCCAGUGAAAGCCUGGGGACAGUCGGGAGUACCAAACAGUGAUUCGGAUAGUGCCAAUGGAAGUAGUAGCAAUAAGUCACAUGAUUCAUCACCUAGCAACAGUCCACACACAAUGUCAAGACCUCACCUUGUUACUAGUCAUUCACUUGAUGAACUGGUUGAAGAAGACUCGAAAAAUAGUAAUGGUCAUGAGCAGAGACGUAAUUUGAUAAAACGGAUGUUGACGGUUGCAGCAGAAGAUUCAUUGAUGCCCUAUAAUCGUGGUCGGCGAAACACAACAUUUGGUGUUGACUUCCAGGAACAAGUUGCCCAGUUUAAGCGAGAAGUUCCACCAAUUAUUUCUAAGUGUUUAUCAGAAGUGGAAAAACGAGGCAUGGACAUCAAGGGUAUAUACCGAGUUUCGGGAGUGAAGAGUAAGGUGGAGAAUCUGUGUCAGCGUUUUGACAUGGAACCCGAGAUUGUUGAUCUGGAGGAACAACACCCAAACGUCAUCUCCAAUGUACUGAAGCUGUACUUGAGACAGUUGCCAGAACCUUUGCUUACAUUUCGAUUGUAUGGAGAUUUUAUUAAUGUUUCUAAGGAAAGCAUGGCUGGUGCUAUCUCUAGUGCUAAAACAGUGGAACGACUUGCAUCCUUGGUUCGCAAUUUACCACACUCUAACUUCAAAACUCUGGCUGUGCUUGUUCAUCACUUACAGAGAGUUGCUGCACACAGUGAUGUGAAUCAGAUGAGUCCUAGUAACCUGGGUAUUGUCUUCGGACCCACACUUCUUAGACCUGCAGAAGGUACUGCUUCCCUCGCUUCUUUGGUGGAUACACCUCACCAGACACGUGCCAUAGAACUACUCAUUUCUUCAGCUCAGACCAUCUUUGGUCCUGACGCUGACUACCAGCUGGUUGCUGGAGAAACGCCAGUUGAGUUACUGCCAGAUGAAAAUACUCAGCCAACACAAAAACAGAAGCCCUCAGGAGAAAAAGUAUCAGCAGUUUCAACCGAAGAAUCAUCAAAACCUGUUAGUACUGCAGCCAGUAUACCUCCAGAUCAUAUUGUGCAACCAGCAGAAGGAGAGACUCUUUCAGGUUUAGACAAGGGGAGGAAAGUUCGGAUGAUUUAGACCUGCAAUCUGAUGAUGACUUGCCGGACACAUUGCUUCCAGAUGACUCCCUGUCCCCACGGUCCGCAAACCCGGCCGUGGUCACACCACAUUUCAUGGCAGGGGGAGUAAGACAUGCCGUCGUCGGAUCAUCGCUUUCACAACCCACCUCUAGUCAAGCAAGUGGUUCUGGUCCUGUGCUCAUAUGUUCUAGUCUGAGUGACAUCGCCCAGCCCUGUGCGUUUGUUGGCAUCAUA
rnacentral:misc_RNA from 1 species